UACGUAGGGGGCAAGCGUUGUCCGGAAUCAUUGGGCGUAAAGAGCGUGUAGGCGGCUCGAUAAGUCUGCUGUGAAAGUCCAGGGCUCAACCCUGGAAGGCCGGUGGAAACUGUCGGGCUAGAGUCCGGAAGAGGCGAGUGGAAUUCCCGGUGUAGCGGUGAAAUGCGCAGAUAUCGGGGAGGAACACCAAUGGCGAAGGCAGCUCGCUGGGACGGUACUGACGCUGAGACGCGAAAGCGUGGGGAGCAAACAGG
rnacentral:rRNA from 1 species